rnacentral:rRNA from 1 species
CCUACGGGAGGCAGCAGUGAGGAAUAUUGGUCAAUGGGCGGGAGCCUGAACCAGCCAAGUCGCGUGAGGGAUGACGGCCCUAUGGGUUGUAAACCUCUUUUGCCGGGGAGCAAAGUGCCGCACGUGUGCGGUUUGGAGAGUACCCGGAGUACAAGCAUCGGCUAACUCCGGGCCAGCCCCCGCGGUAAUACGGAGGAGGCGAGCGUUAUCGGUAUCUGUUGGGGUUAAAGGGUGCGUAGGCGGACGCUUAAGUUAGCAGGAAAAUUGCGGGGCUAAACCUCGCCGAGCCGUUGAAACUGGGUGGCUGGAGUGGGCGAGAAGGACGCAGAAUGCGUGGUGUAGCGGUGAAAUGCAUAGAGAUGACGAAGAACUACGAUUGCGAAGGCAGCGUACCGG